rnacentral:lncRNA from 1 species
CCUCCAUAAUGGCCUUAAGAACCUUACCUUUGCCGAAAUUGAUGACUAGCUCCAGCCACUCCGAUGAUCCAAACUAAUCCAAGUCGACCCUAUGCCUUGCUGCUCCUCCACUAAACAAACCAUAAAAAGAUUAAAAUAAAAACCCAAUAGAGCCUAUACCCAUAUUCGGCCAUCUCUUAAACUAUAGGGGUUUCGGCUUUUGUCAACAGUUACUAUAGGAAUCGUUUAGAGUUCG